GCAGUCGCCGCGGUAAUACGUAGGUGGCAAGCGUUGUCCGGAAUUAUUGGGCGUAAAGGGCUCGCAGGCGGUUUCUUAAGUCUGAUGUGAAAGCCCCCGGCUCAACCGGGGAGGGUCAUUGGAAACUGGGAAACUUGAGUGCAGAAGAGGAGAGUGGAAUUCCACGUGUAGUGGUGAAAUGCGUAGAGAUGUGGAGGAACACCAGUGGCGAAGGCGACUCUCUGGUCUGUAACUGGCGCUGAGGAGCGAAAGCGUGGGGAGCGAACAGGAUUAGAUACCCCAGUAGUCCCUGUCUCUUAUAA
rnacentral:rRNA from 1 species